CUGACGGCCGGGGGGCUUCUUUCCUUCCUUCCCGAGGAGGAGCAGAAGGCGCACGCGGAGAAGGAGUUGUCCCGCAGCCGCAUCCCCCGCCUCGUCCUCCGGCCGCAGCCGCCGCAGCAGCGCAAGGCGUCGCCCGCCUCAGAGUCGCCCUUUUCGGAGGAGGAGAGCCGGGAGUUCAACCCGCCCAGCUCCUCCGGGGGCUCCGCCAGGACCAUCAGCAGCAACAGCUUCUGCUCAGAUGACACUGGCUGUCCUAGUAGCCAGUCAGUAUCUCCAGUUAAGACUCCUUCUGAUGCUGGACACAGCCCAAUCAGUUUUUGCACCGGUAGCGAUGGAGACUUCUCCAGGAAGAAAUUCAGUGCAGGAACAAUGAACGAAGGAAACUCACCGCUGGCUCGAUAUAAGAAGGAUACAAAGACAAGCCUUGUAAAGCCCGGUGAGUAUGACAUAGUUCCUUUCAUUUAAGUAAUUACACUCUCUAAUUGACAAUUACAUCUACAGGUGUCCAGAUGCUUUGUAUUGUGCUGCCUGUGAUACAGCUAAUGUUGAUAGUAAAUAAAAAAGAUAAUUAUGUUCUUUCUAUGGAACCACCUGCAAGGUUUGAAAACACUGCAAGUGUUAGCUUUUUCAUGGAAAUGUAAUUAAUUGAUGUCUUCACUUUCUUUUAUGAGGCUGGCUGGUGAUGUCAAAUAACAACUGAAAUAUAUUUUAUCCUAUUUCAUGGUAAUUGUAUGCAUAGUUCACUGGCCAAAAUAAAUUAAUCUUGCUAUCAAAACAACAAAUUAUAGUCUUCUAAUGUUGUUAGAUUGAUGGUUAGACUCUGCCUAAAGUUUAUGCCAUCAGGCUGCAAUAGCUCUCAGGAUACAGCAUGACAAAUCAAGACAGGAUAAUGGGUAGAGUGCAUAUGCGAGUUAUGCAGAUGUAACUCCAUGGUGCAUUGUCUGAAUGAAGAGCUUGUCUCCCAUUGCCUCAAGCUAAUGGGCCACCUUAGACCACCAAUUAAAUCAGCACCUGCUUGUUACACAUCCCAGACUAAAUGUCCUGGUGUGUCAUGGGCUGCUGUAAUUUUAAUGAGUAGAUAUAAAAUGUAUUUGUGAAUCACAUACAGACAGCUCUUGAUUGCAGAUUGUCAGGAUAUUUCUGCCUUUAGCUCUUGAUUACAAAUGGCCAGGAUAUUUUCACUGUUAUUUAAUUAAACUGGGAGACAGGGUGUUUUGACUCUGUGCAGAGCCAGCUGCAGAACUGACAUGGUUUAUGAGCU